AGCGGGCGGGCUAUCGCGAGACCUACAAAGGCGCGCUACUUUAAAUAAAAAAGGACCUCCGUGUGAAAGAGGUGGAUGAAGGGGCGGAACCUCCGCAGGGGUUAGCAGUGGAGAGUCGAUGGAAUCGACCUCCCUUGGCAACGCCAGGCCGACAAGGUAAGGUUUAUCACUAGUUGGUUCGACUCUCUUCUAGCGUUCAAUUUGUAAAACUAAAAAACUGACAAGGGCCUAGAUAUUUGCUAAUUUUUAUUGCAGUAAUUUUUCGCCACUUAAAAUAAGGAAUAGGCAUGGAAGACUUGCUUUUAACGGUAUACGUUUUUGUUUUGUUUUUUAUUGUGCUUUAGGUGAAAGUUUACAGCUCAAGUUAAUUUCUCAUACCAAAAUUUAUACACAUAUUGUUAUGUGUCAGUAGUUGCCAUCCCUAUUUCCACCCCGAGUUUCUCGUGUCCAUCCCACCAGCUCCUCUCCCUUCCUGCCUUCUCAUCCUGCCUCCGGACAGGAGCCGUCCAUUUAGUUGAACUAAGAAGCACUCUCUUCACGAGUAUUAUUUUAUGUUUUGUAGUCCAGUCUAAUCUUUGUCUGAAGAGUGGGCUUCCGGGAAUGGUUUUAGUUCUGGUUUAACAGAGCAUCCGGAGGCCAUGGCUUUAGGGGUUCCUCCAGUCUCAGUCAGACCAUUAAGUCUGGUUUUUUUACGUGAAUUUGAGUUCUGUUCCACGCUUUUCUCCCGCUCCGUCAGGGACUCUGUUGUGUUCCCUGUUGUUUUAUUUUGGUUUUUAAAACGUGUAUAUAUUACUCUUUCCAACCAGUUAGUUAACAAUAUAUUUUUAAAUUAUUGGCACCUUAUUGACUCACCUCAAAUCUUAGAAAUUACUUGCCGGGGCUCUAGACGUUCGAGUUGUGGGAUACACAGUUUGGAAGAAAGCCAAAAAUAUUUCUAAAUAAACACUCGGAAUUCUGAGCCCGUGGCUUUUAUCUUUUGCUUUACACCCAGAUAAGAAGAAAUUUGGGCAAGUCUGUCAUCCUUCAAACCUCGGUUUCCCCAGAUGUAAACUGGAAGUAACAGUAAUAAUGCCUGCUUCUCAAACGUUAUUGCGAGGGUCAGGGGAGAUAAUGGCGGUAAAGGUCUUGUACAACGUCUGCCAUGUCGUAAACAAACAACAAAAACACCCAUUGCCGUCAAGUCAUAGCAGCCCUUUAAGACAGGGUAGAACUGCUCCAUAGGAUUUCCAAGGCUGUGAUCUUUACCGAUUUAUAAGGUUGCUAUGAGUCGGAAUUGGCUGCACAGCAACGGGUUUUUGGUUUAAUCUUUAGGGAAGCAGACUGGUACAUCUUUGUCUUGCAGAACAGCUUGUGACUUGGAACCACCGACCUUAACAGCUAAGCACUUAACAACUGCACCCCCAGGGCUCCUUUCCUCGGCCGCAUAAAAGAUGCUCCCCAUAAGCUUUUGUAAGACAUGACAAAGUAAUUGCCAUAUAGUAGAUGCUCAACAUAUUUUGGCUGUGGAAAGAGCAAGGUAUUGUGGGUACAGCUUGGAGUCCUAGGGCCUGAUCACCUGAGGAGUUAAUUCUAGCUCUGCCCUCUUUGGAGACAAGUGACCUGAGGCAAAUUACCUAACACCCAAAAUAUUUGCAAUAGCCUCCUUAUCUGUCUCACUGCUUUCACCUCUUCCCUCCCCUCUACUCACCCCGUAGACUCUGUGUGGCAUCAGGUUUUCCACUCUCCCCAGCAAACCCCGGUGGUGCAGUGGUUAAGCGCUGGGCUGCCAACCUAGAGGUCAGUGGUUUGAAUCCACCAGCCACUCUUCAGGAGAAAGAUGUGGCAUCUUUCCAUAGAUAACUUGCAGCCUCAGAUAAUCCUAUGGGGCAGUUCUACCCUAUCCUAUAGGGUGGCUGAGUCAGAAUCGACUUGACUGCAAUGGGUUUGGUUUGUUUGUUCUUUGGUUGCUGUGUAUGUUCUCAACAACAACAAAAAAGCUUACAGGGUCCUUCCUGGUGUGCACACUUGCCUCCUUGCACAGACAUGCCAGACCUCAUCCUCCACUGUUCUUCCCUGGCUUCCUGUUCUUUAGACACCCAGGAAAGCUCUGCCUGGCUCAGGGCCUUUUCCCUGACUUAACUUUCCUCCACUAGGCUUGCUCUCCCUGGCUUUCUUCAUUCAGCUCUCCAUUCAGCCAUCACACACACAUUUUUUUUCCCCAUGGCACUUACCACCUGAAAUAUUGGAAAUGUAUUUACUGUCUCCUAGCUCUAACCCAUUCAUUUUCAAGCAAGCACGGAGCUCAUCAGUGUUGUUCACCCCUGUAUCCACAGCUUCUUAGAGAACUAUCUGGAAUGCAGAAGGCUCUCAGUACAUAUUUGAUGACUAAAUGAACAGGCAAAUCUGUUUCCCUGUCUUAAAAUGGGUAUGGUACUACCAAACACUUGAAUUUGCUGUGAGGAUAAAUGAAAUAAUCCAUAUAAAAGAGAUUAACUCAGAGUACUCAGUGUUAGUUAUUAAUAUAUUGUCUCAGUCUAUAUCCUGCCACCCCCUUUUCAAAUCACAGGUGAACCUUAAGGAAAGCAAAGCUCCCAAUUUGAACAUCUCGGGGAUACAGAAUUCCCUGGUUCUAAUUUACUUUAUAAAAGGAGUGCGUCUUUGGAGGAACCAUGCCAAUCUGGGCAAGAAGCCAGCUAAAUGAGCUGCAAAGUGGAAGAUCUGCAUUGCAAGACAUCAGAGAAGCAAGCAGAGACUGGGGGACCACACACCACCAAGAAAGAAGCACCAGGAGCAGAGGGUGUCCUUUGGACCCAGGUUCCCUACGCCUCGGCCAGGGGAAGGUUGAGGACACGGACCUUCCUCCAGAGCUGACAGAAAGUCUUCCCCUCGAGCUGACACCCUGAAUUUGGACUACUUUACUGUAAAGAAAUUUUUCUUUGUUAAAGCCACCCACUUGUGGUAUAUCUGUUAUAGCAGCACUACAUAACUAAGACAACAUUAUAUUAGCUAAACUAUAAAGAAAGUGGGACACAAGGAAAGAUUCCAACUUUUAUUUUUCUCCCUUUACAUAAAGUAGAAGAAAGAAUACAGGAUUAAACUGUAAAAGUGGUUAAUCAGUAGAACAUGUAUACACAAAAAAAAAUUCAGAUAGGAAGACAGGUUUAUUUACAAUGAGGAAACACAUGUAAAAUUAAGGUAAUUUUCAUAUGCAACAUUAAAAAACAAAACAUGCUACAUGGGUGCUGCUGUCUACAGCAGUAUAGAAGGAAGGAAACACUUAUUUAGGGAUAGAUAUACCACAAGGUCCAAGUUUUACAGUUUAUCAGUGCAAUAAAUUCACAAGACUAUGACACCUAGUUAAUCAGAGUUUAAGAACUGUUCCCAAAUAUGUCACAUUUUUUGGCCCUCAGAGGAUCACUCCUACAGAAUGCAACUACUUUAAAUUUCUAGUUACUGAGAGACCGAUUCUAAGAAGCUUUCCAAGGAAUUACAAAAUCUUUGUAGACCAGAGGCCAACAGUCAUCACCACCAGUUGGCUCUAACCAACAGCCUGUGCAUUCUAGAGAGCAGUAUCUAGAAAAAGUCAGAGGCCACCAUGGUCCCCACCCCCUAUUCCAAAUCUGUGGGAACCAAAAGAGCCAGUACUGCCAUAAAAUGAGAAUCCUGAGGCUUACUUUUAAAGACUUACUCUGGUCUUGAAAAAUUAGUAGGAUCAACUGUUUUCUAAAGAAAUGAAUCCUGACUAAACCUAAGAAGACUUCUGUCCUUCAUUGGCUGGUCUUGGAGUGAGAGUAAAGGUCAUAGACAUGAGUCUUAACCUACUACGUACUUUAAUUUUAGUUAGCUGAAAAUCUGCAAUAAAAACUAUGUUAGAAAUCCUAAAUAUAAUCUUCUGGAAGUCUGCUAGUAAACUCAAGUCUACAUGGGAGGGGACAAGAGCUCUACGCCUGUCAGAGUCCCCAUUUGGGACAAAAGAUCAAUGUUUCCUACAAAUUGCUAAGUUUUACUCAAGGGAGAAACCAACACAUACCAGGGACAUGGAAUCAGUUUCAUUUUAUCCCAUGGGGAUUCUUCCUCCACGGUAAAGAAACACAAUGUGGAAUGAAUCUUAAUUGGUCUCUUCAUCAAAAGUGGUAAAAAUGGUCUCUGUACUCACGAAGCCAAACAGUUAUUGUAAGCACGCUGGGGAAGCAGACUGCAGAACCAGCUUCCUGUAGCCACAGACCACAACCUCGUAUCUAGCCCAAGCAAAGAUUAACUUGAACAAUUAUCAAGAGUCACUGGUAACUGUACUAAAGGAUAAAGUUCACUACUAUAUUACUUUAAGGGAAAUUGCCUAAAAAUAAGAAUUCAAUUAACUGUGGGUGAGAAAAUUCAAAACAAGUCAGUACUCACUGAGUUGUCCAUAUAAGGUCAACUGAUGAGAAUAUACCCAGCUACACUGGACAUGAAGACACUAUGCACAAAGCCUUACUCAGCAAGUCUUGAAUUUCUAUUAACUAAGGGCAGAAUGAGGGAGGGCAAAGAGCUACUUCUGUAACAUUUGAGUCUACAGAUAGCACAGCAGAAACUGUUCCCAGGGACAAUAUAUACCCCCAUCAAUCACUCUGAAGAAAGCAGCUGCAUUAUUCAUUCUUCUUUUCUUUUUGUUUAAGAAGCUUGUUUAUCUCCCUCUUGGCCAUUCCAAUGUACUUCGAAAUGAUUCCAUGUUGGUUUAGUCCAGGAAGCAGCAAUGCAGAAGUUACUGAAACAAACAAAUUAAAUUAAGGAGCCAGCAAGGACCUUCCUAAAGGUUAUUACAUUUUACAGAAGGGAGUUUCCCAGACACCCUAGGUUAUCAGACACUAAAUGGGAGGGCACCAUACAAAAUCCACUAAUUCCACUAGUAUUUAUCCCCAGAAACUUCUGUUAUAUCACUCCAACCUCACAUACCACACCACUGCCUAUUUUUACCUCUUGCACAUUACUUUCUACCUUGGUUAUAUUCUGUCUUAACUUCCUCUAAGACUACAAACGUUCUGGAAACAAGUAACUGGGUCUUGGUCAUCUCUCUGCACCGCCACAGACCCUUGACUGGUGCCUUAAACUUCGUGAGCACUCACAUAGGUGUUUACUGAGUACAUUACAGAUAGAUUUAACUGGCCAGGACCUGUCUGUGCUUCUUCCUCAAAGACUUACCAAUCAGGUAGGUGAGAAAAAGGUUGUGGACUUGCUGUCCCACCCAAGCAACCGCAGCAAGAAAAAUGAUCAUGGUCAUGAAGUACUAACAAUAAAAAUAAUAAGAAUUUAUCAACUCUUAGAAGCAGACUAAGAAACACAGCUAUCAUUCUAGGAGUUUGUUUCAAAAGAUGUAAAAUCAUUCCACUUUUAUUUAAAAAUACUUAAUACCUAUAUAUUACAGAAAACUCUAUUACAUGUAACUUUAUAAAACUUAGAUACAUUUUCCCUCCUAGAAUUACUCACUCCAGUGUAAAUUAAGCUACUCUUACAAUUAAUAAUUACACAUGGUAAACUCAUGUGAAGCUGGAAGAGAACAAACGCUUUCUAAGGAUACGUCUUUUAGUUUUAUUUCAGUAAAUAAAAAAUUUUUGUUCUACUAGAGUAAAAAGGGCAAAAUUUAAUUUUUAACUUCCAGUGAUUCAAUCUAAUAUAAAGACUUAUGAAUGUAAUCAGAGGAGUUAAAACAGAUGAUAAACAUCAAACUACAUUAAAACAAAAAUGAUUAUGCGCAAUGAAGCAAAAUUACUCAAUCUUAAAUUUUUCCUUUAGUUAAACAAGUCAAAGCAAAUUAAGUACCAUUUUAGGCUUUUCUUCCUUUAGUGUGAAGAGGCGUUUCCACCAGCCCACAGCUCUGCGUCGAGUUUUCACUAGAUUGCUGCAAAUUUCAUGGAAUCUUUGCUGUUGCUCAGUGGUCCUAAAAAAAACAAUUUUCCCCAUCACUGUAAACAAAUCCCCAUAGUAGAAAUACAUCAUUCUCUUAAAGUUAAAAAGCUAUCUUCUAAAGAUGGUCUAAAUAAAAAAUAGCAAUGACUCACCAUUAUCUCACUCAGGUGAAAAGUAUCUUACGCCACUGAGACAUCUUUUAUGGCACAGGACUAUGCUGCUACAUAAAGGGGUGUAUGUAUAUACAUAUCUUUAGUAUGUUAUUUGUUGUUGUUAGGUGCUAGUAAUAGUAAAUUAUGGCUCUGAAACCACAUUUGGUUAAUGAUAGUCACAAAAGACUCAUGACUACUUUGGGCCAUGCAGAAAUCUGUAUAAAUUAAUUUCUCUGCUCAUUUAUUAUUUUUCAGAUCCUAACGAACCCUGGGAAACCCUGGCGGCAUUUAGCAGUUAAGAGCUAUGGCUGCGAACUAAGGUCGGCAGUUUGAAUCCACCAGGCACUCCUUGGAAACCCUAUGGCACAGUUCUACUCUGUCCUACAGGGUCGCUAUGAGGUGGAAUCGACUCGAUGGCAAUGGUUACAGGUUACGGGUUAACGAACCCUGCAGGUUGUAGCCCAUCAGAGUCCCACUAUUCUGAGAGGGCAUUCAAAGCGUAGAUAGCCCACAGCAGGAGUAAAAAACAGUUCAAAUCCAAAUUCUUUAUUUAGUCCCAGUAAGGGAAAAGAUGAUCACAAACAAAACAGUAGCAAAAAUCCAAACAGAUCCUCUAAGAAAGUUCUUUAUAUACAUAAUUUUCUCCUUGGUUCUGAUAAAAAGUAACUGCCUCUGUACUGUCUUUGGUACACAGACAUAAUGGCUAGUACAGUAACAUCUGCAAAAGCCAGAACCUGUGUAAGGCGGAUGCCAGUCAGAGAAAGAAAACUCAAAUAUCUUCCACUAAAUAAAGAGUGACAGAAAAAUGGUGACUGCGCCCUGUCAAGGCAGAAACCUUGCAAGACCCAGAAAAACAAGGCAGUCUCGUCGAGUUCUGGCUCUCGCUGGUUUCACUGUACUACUUAGUAGGCCUACCCUGAGGAUGUGUGGCAUUGUUUCCUCCAGUCCUCAUCCUUGUAAAACUGCAGUGACAGAUACAGUAAGAGGCUCCUGCUCAGCCCUGGAACUUCUUGCAAACAAUCAGGCUUUAUAUGUUGCCCAUGGUCAAGGCUAGAUUGUGGCAAUGCAACAUAGUAUUCCUCCUUCCUCAAAGGAUCAAAAAAUAAAAUUCACUUUAUCGAUAACUGAGUCACAUACUGAUUACCACGAAACUAUCAGUGUUUACUUCUGACAACUUUCCUCCAGGAGUUAGGAAUUUAGCAGAUUAGAAUGUCAUCUGACUAAUAAAGUCAAGGUCAGAGGGUGAUUCACUAUGCUAGUUAAAUCUGUUACAAUGCACGGUCACAAACCUCCCCCCAAAACAGCAUACUUCAUUACUGCAAGUGAAAAACAAUUCAAAGCGCGGUUCCUAACGCUAAUCUUUUCUGCUCUGGGGAAAACAUUUUAAAACACACGUGCUCAAUUAUCUCAUGACUUAAGCAAACUCCUCUACAACAUAUCGGUUUAUUCUCAAAGAAUCCAUAAGACACACACUUAAAAUUCUUACUUUCGUGGAGCAGUGGCUGAGCUCAGGUUGCUAACCAAAAGUCAGCAGUUCAAAUCCACCAACUGUUCCUUGGAAACCCUAUGUGGCGGUUCUGAUCUGUCCUAUAGGGUCGAUGAUUUUUUAAUUUGCUGUCAUCUGAGGACAAAAAGCUAAAGGCACAGUCUACCAAUCAAAUUAAAACAACCAAGAGAGACUAGGCAGCUAAGGGGAAAUCUAUUCCAUCAUCCAAUUUUGUUCAUUAUUUAGAUCCAAGGUGGGAAAUAUAACAUUCCAGAGGGAAGUUAAAAUACUCUAAUAUGAUCCUUAGCCACUUUACUGUUUUAGGACCUCAUAAGGAAUAAAUUCAAAGAAUGGUAUAAAAUAGACAGCCCACUUUUAUAUACAGUUUGAACUUAUUCUGAAGCACUUGCUAUGCAUUUGGCUGCCUACCUACCACUGCGCUGUCUCAAUUUUUCAACCUUAAACACAAGGUUUUGUAAGUCAAAAUAAAUGGUAACCCUAAAAGGACUAUGGAGAUGUAAGAACUGGAAAGUCAUUGUAUCUGAAUCAGCUAAGAAAUUCUUCACAGAAAAGCAAAGAAAUCUAACCCCUUGAUGUCUGGUGAUUAGACAAUUCUUUGUGCUAAUUGCAGCAUACUAAUUACAGUCACUAGGUUCAGUAACUUCUCAGAGAUUUCAAAUCAUGAUUCCACCUACCAUUUAUUGGAGCCAAAAAUUCUAGGCGCUAAAAUGGGAACAAGGUAGUCAGCCAAGCACAGAAACAUAACAAAACAGGAAACACCUGACAGAACAGAUGGAUCUAGGUAGUAGAUUGUCCUGUUUAAAAAAAAUAAAAAUAAAGGUUAAAAACAUAGUCACUAUUACUCCUAGCUGAAGAUUUUUAACUACACAUGUAGUCCACUGGUUCUCAAAGAUGUUAUUGGCCCUUUUCAUUCAGUUUUCCAGAAGCUUCAAGGCAAGAGAUCAUCAUUGCAAUAGCUAAUGGAAUAUGUGCUUAUAUAAAAAAAAAAAAAAAAAAAUUUAAUUUCAAAUACAGGCAGUCCCCGGGUUACUAACAUCCGACUUAACAAACCCCUACAAGCCCUAUAAACCCUCCUCUCCCUGUAAAGCCUAUUAUAUUAAAAAUUCGAGGUACAUACAAUGGUUCCUAAUAAUAAACAGGUGCUACUUUGCAACACGCAUCAAAACAUUAUUAUUACCGUAUUAUUACGUUAAAGACAUUUUAGUGUAUCUGGAAGUGUGUCUUUAAUGUUUUUACGCAAGAAAGGUACAUUAUGUACUCUAUACUAGCAGAAACAUUUGGCUAACUGAAGUUAGAUACAAACUGUACCUAACUGUUCCAACUUAUAAAUUUGACUUAAAGACUGACUUCGGACAGGAACUCAUUCCUAAUCCAGGGUCUGCCUGUACAGUAAAAAUCAAUAGACAAAAAGGUCUCUGGGGUCCUCGACAAUUUCUAAGAGUAUAAAGGGUCUUAAGGCCAAAAAGUCUGAGAGCCACUGAUUUAUUUAACUGCAUUAGGUUACGAGUUUACAUAAAUACUACAAGUUCUGAAAACUAGGCAAACUGCUCUAAGAAAGAAAUGGCAUUCUCUACAGAAUAUACCUAAGAUUUAAAACACUUUCAUAAACGGAGGCUGUGCAUUACCUGAGCCCUUAUUAACAGCAAGCACACACCACAGUAACGCAAUAGCUCACUUACAGAAAUACCAAAGAAACCACGCCCAUGAUAGCAGGUGGAAACCAGGCUCUUUCCCAUCGGAGGACUUUGUCGGCCAUCAGCAUCACUUCUCCCCAGCCUUGCAGCUGCUCUUCCAGACUUGCUGUCUCUGCAGCCUACAUAUCAUCAACAUUCAAAGCGAUCACUUUACCAAUCUCAACAUUUCUGUGAUUCCUAGGGAGUUAAAUUCUUCAAAGGUACCAAAUAUGUAAAAUCGCUACCUCACAAUUAGUUUCUGAAGACCCUGUAAUUUUGGUUUCACAGAAAGAAACCAAAGGGGGAAAACCUAUCGCUUAACGGUCCCGUUCCAAGUCCAAGCACUGGGCUACUUUACAUACAUGAUGUAACACCAUGUUACAUAGAGCCCUUGAGGUAGGGACAAUUAGGUCUAUUUUACAAUUAAAGUGAGCUCAGAAUGUUAACUUUCCCAGCCUCAUACAUUACUAAGUGGUAGCGCCCAGAGUAUUUAUAAAAUCAGAUCACUUAAGGUUCACUCAUUUCAGGUGCUUAGAGUUGAUCUGUUGUUCUUGUCAUUUCAUUGAUUGAAACCCUUAGUUCGAAAUGCAUUAGGAAAGCCUCUCUCUGAACAGCAUUCAACUCCUAAAAUAGUUUUUUGGGUAAUGGAAUCACGUAGAUGUUACCAUCAUUGUACAAUCAAGGAAAACUACUUUUGCCUAAUUAUAUGUGGCAUUUUAAGCUCAAUAUAUCUCCUCAAUACUGUUAUUUAUUAGGACAUUCUGGUUAGACUUCAAAUUCCUCUGCAAAUCUGGCAACUGGCUGAAAAUGGACCUCUAGGAUGAGCUAAUGCGGCAAAAGCCCUUAAAUUGAUUUUGGUAAAAGAAAAACAAAUUGAAACAGAACACCUAAGCAUCCUUAUAAAUGUCAUCACUAGGAAAUAGGGAAAUGACAGGGGGCAGUUCUGCUUAAUCUCGAUAAAGAUGCUAUUCAUGCCACAUUGCUCACUCAGGUGACCUGAAUGUUUCUGACUUUAAGCAUUUUAUAUGCUUAUACUUCAAAUAAUCCUUCCAACAACCCUAAAAGGAAGGUGUUAUUAUUCCCAUUUUACAGAUGCAGAAACUGAGAUACAUACACAGAGAUGAACAGAUCUGAACCAAGGAAACCCAAGGCCAAAGGCUCUGCUCACCUUACAAGUUAUUCUGCUCUGCUGGAAAAGAGUAGUUGAGUGCGGGAUUCCAAGGUCUAGACUAGAAUCUGUCAUUUCAACAGCUGUGUGAGUUCUUUGUGCCUCAAUCUUCUUAAAAGGCAGCCCAGAAGUUGUGUGCUCUGUAUUUUUAAGGGGGCAGGCCAUGCAUUUCUAAAAACCACUACAAAGUGAAAAUCAUGCACAAUCAAAACUGCCUGGGGCAAAGUCACUUAAUUCGUUAGCACCUGGACUGUUUCAAAAACAGAUUUAAAUGCUUCAGUUCCUCUUUUCUUUGCUGUGUGGUGUGGCCAGCCUUUCCCGGGAGUAGGGUAACGGACAAAAUCCAAGAUUUCUCUCUUGUUUUUGCCUAGCUCUUGCAGUUAAAUUUGUGAGCCUGGGAUACAACCCCACUGUAGUUCCUUCAGGUUCCUGCUUAUUCUAAAGUUGUCUCCAGCCGCCCUAUGACCCACAGCCUUUCAAAGUCCAGGCAAACGCCAAAUCUUCCUAUUGUCCUUCCAGCUGGACCCCACUCCCAGUUCCCUGCGGUGACCUCGGAGCCUCGCUGCCGUUUUAAGUUGUGCCAGCUUUAAAAGAAACUGGGCAGCAGCCCUUUGACCUUCCACCUCUGUCCCAAGUAUUAGAGAAAGAGAAAAAAGCUACAUUCCAGUCCGGGUAAUACCAAAGAGGGGGAACCCCAGAUCCGCCUGGGGCCCCCGCGCCCUCCGCCCGGCCUGCACCCCGGCUUCCCUGCCGAUCCCCCUUUCUCACAUUUCCUCCCCAACCCCCAAUCGCGGAGACAAAUCACGCGCCCUUCUCGCCCUGUCGCGCACCUUCCCCAGCUAACGACAGGGGUCAAUACGACCAGUGACCGCCACCCAGGAACUACCCAGGAAGCCCGAGAGGCAGGCAGCGUCGCCUGCGCCUUAGAGCUGGGCCCGCCGCGAGUGACAUGAACGAGGCCGCUGCAGUCGCCGGUUUGGGCCCGCCGAAAUCCGGAAGCCCUGCUCAGUUUCCUCGCGAUGGCCCGCCGCUACUCACCAGCAGGUUGGUGCUGCGAUUAUCGCCCUCCGCCAUCGUCCCUGAGGUGCCGCCUAAGCCAGCUCAAGGCUCCUUCCAGAAAAACCUCGCCCCGAGCUUUCACGGCGACCUCAGCGCCAGCGUACGGCCCGCAAGUGCUUAUAUAGGCAGGCUGCCUUUCCCGACAGCCUCCGCGAGGCUCCCUCCUCAUUGGGCAGAUCGAGCUCAAGCCGAAGGGUAGCCGGACCAACCGUUGCCCAGCGCAUGGCUUGAAAUCGAGGCCAAAGGAGAGACAGGCUGAGCCGGCCGAGGAGGCUGGGACAGGGAGUAGCCAAUCAGCGCCCAGGAAAUGUGCUCGGCCCACCCUGAGCUCUCGGAAGCGGUUGAACGGUCGUUGCCAGGGGCUUGUUUCAGCGUUGGUAUCCCUGUAAUUGACGCAUGGGCAGCUCUCGCACCCUCUUCCCCUGAGCCCCAAUGCGGUUAAGGAGCCCCUCUGCUGUGCAGGACCAGGCGGAGAAGGGGAUGUGGCCCUUAACCUCAUUGUGGUUAGGGCGGUCGGUGGGCACCGGAGCCCAUCAGACCAGUACCCCUCCACGGCCCCGCCUAAAAAUCCCUUCUCUCUUCCCCUUGGUAUGUCACUGAGCAGUUUAGCUCAGAUUUGUGACUUGUGCCCACAUCGUGAUUUUUUUUGUGGACAAGUAAAAGCAUUUACAUAGAUUUUGCUGCAAUUUUUCUCUCCUACCGAGUUAGCGAUAAGGCCUUGGCUUGGGGAAAAAAAGGGUGGUGGAGAGGGGUCGUAGUCUCUUGAGAACCCGUGAAAAAUGCACCGAUUUAUAAAGUUGGCUUAUUUACAUGAGGACUUUGGGGGAAACUGUGGAGCGUUUUCUUAGAGAAACUAUACGCUCCAUCUCCAAAAAGGGAUUGGUUUUACACGAGAGGUCAUGUUAAGAUGUAAACCCCUUUACAAGCAAUUUAGGAAGUAGAACUAUGAGAGACACUUUUAAGUCUUUUUCUAUUUAGGAUUUCAAAAUGUAUUAACAAGUGCUUUGAUUAUUAUUCAAUACCAAAAAAAAAAGUUGCCUGGUCAGAUGUUGUUUCAGGUAAGUUAACCACAGUGUUUAACUUCCAACUUUUAUCCUUUUUUUUUUCUUUUAAGCAUAUUCAUUAAUUACCAGGUUCUUAACAGUUCAAAGAAAGGAAGGCAAAAAGAUACGUUAAAGAACAUAGUUCGGACCACAUACUGCCUCAAGAAAGCCAGGCAGAGGCAGGAGCAUUGCGAAUUUCAUGAAAGGCUAUGAAAUUUUCUGUGUAUCUUGGAGAAAAAAUUAAGCAUUUGGGUCUGAUAAAACACUUGCGAAACAAGCUUUGCAAGGAAAAGGAACUCCCCAGUAAGUUCUCCUUUGGGAGAUGUUGAGGAAAAAAAUACAGACCCCAUUUAGGGGUAUUUGAAAGCUAUGGAGUUUGAGGGGCAGGCCCUCCCCCACCUCUUCAAAAGAAAGAUAAAAGGCAAAAGGACCUAAACAAUCAGCAGCAAUUCACAUAAUUAGUAAAAAUUAUGAGUGCACAAUCUCACUGUAGGCUCAGCAACACCCAUAUCCAGAGAAGACAUAGAGCUUUUAGUAGGCUUUAAAAGCCGACAUUUCUUGAGAAAUCCGCUUUUGCUACCAAAUGCUUCUGGUUUCACCCAAGUUCCCUGUGUACUGCUUAAGACGGCUUUCUUAAAACCAGAUUGUGAAAGUGAGGCAGCUGGAAAAAAAAAAAAGAAAAAAAAAGACAACUCAAAGAGCAUGGGUUCUCCAAGGAGUAUUGUUACUCAAGGAAUGUGUUCCCAAACCUAUUUCCAAAUUCACAGCCUAGGGGCACUGCUAUACAGUCUGUCACUAAGACUUUGAAUUGGCCUAAUUAAAAACAAAAACUACACAGUAGCUUUCCUUCUGAGCUGUAUCUGUACUCUAGACAGGAUGUGAGCUUUUGAAAUAUGCCACGUGACUGAGCAAUUAACACAAAUCCUGUUGCUUUUGUUAGUCGCCACUGAGUCGACCCCAUGUGCAACAGGAAAUGUCCUCCAGUCCUGUGCUAUCUCCCAAUUGUUAGCAUGCUCAACAUGCUUGAGUCCCUUGUUGCUGCCACUGUGUAUUUUGAGUGAACUUCCAACCCAAGGGACUCAUCUUUCAGCACUGUAUCAAGACAAUAUUCUGUUGUGAUCCACAGGGUUUUCAUUGGCUAAUUUUCGGAAGCAGACCACCAGGCCUUUCUUCCUAGUUUCUUAAGUCUGUAAGAUCCACUGAAACCUGUCCACCAUGAGUGACCCUGCUGGUAUUUGAAAUAACCAGUGGCAGAGCUCCCAGCAUCAUAGCAACAUGCAAGCCACCACAGUAAGGCAAGCUGGCAGAUGGGUGGUAGUAACAUCUAGCACCAAGAAAUGUCAACUUCAAAUACCAAAACAAGUUGGGCAUUUUAAUGCCAUUUUUCUUCAGAACUUUCACAUCCGAGGGAAUAUACACUUCACAUCUUCUUUUAUGCCAGUAAUGACCUUUGGGAGUAUUGUUAUGAAGUACUGCCAAAAUUAAGCUUAAUCAAAUUGAUCCUUAAGACUAAGAACUUUCCCAUUGAAGUAAAAUUUCCACUGCUGUUCAAUUAUAGAACUUUGAGGGUAAAAAAAAAUUUUUUUAAGAUAUUGCUGCUUUAAAAAAAAAAAAAAAAGGCAACCCAUGUCCCAAAGUAGAAUCUACUUUGACCAAUAAAUCCAGAGUUUAAAUGCUACAUCUUUUGAGACUGAACCUUUAUUUUUUUGAAAAACAGGUAUUUCAUACAAUCUUUGCCAUGUUAAUGCAAAUCUGCACGAAGUAGGCAGGUAUUUUUGUUUUCCAAAAGAUGCAUUAUGAACAUUUUCAGGAAGCUGGUGUGAUUUAUUCAACUUUUAAUCUUAAAUACAAUCACAAAAUUAUAUCCAUCAGGAGGCAUUACCACCUUUUGUACAGAGAAGCCACUUCUUUCAUUUAUUUAUACAAUGUUACUAGGACAAGGAAGAUUCAGUUCAACUCAAUUUGCUCUUAUAAGGGUAAAAAGUAAACAAGUAUGAUGUCACUGCCACUGACAUUACAGGUGGAAAUAUAAGGAAAAUUUAAACCAGAAAAAUAACUGACACAAGAACUUUAAAUAGGAGCUCAAACUUUGCCAGGGGCGGAAAAAAAAACAGCAAAACAAUAUAUGUAAUCAGCCUGUUUUAAAAGAAAAACACUCUAUAAUUCUGCAUUUCAGAACAACAUGCAAUUCCUUAAGCUUACCAUCUUUUAAAAAAAAAAAAAAAUCAAGCUAUUUUAGGGCCUUUGUAUGUUACUUA